rnacentral:rRNA from 1 species
GACGAACGCUGGCGGCGUGCCUAAUACAUGCAAGUCGAACGAGUGGCGGACGGGUGAGUAACGCAUCGGAACGUACCGAGUAAUGGGGGAUAAAUGUCCGAAAGGACAGCUAAUACCGCAUAUUAUUCGAGCGGCCGAUGUCUGAUUAGCUGGUUGGCGGGGUAAAGGCCCCCCAAGGCGACGAUCAGUAGCGGGUCUGAGAGGAUGGUCGCCCACACGGGGACUGAGAAACGGCCCAGACUCCUACGGGAGGCAGCGGUGGGGAAUUUUGGACAAUGGGGGCAAGCCUGAUGCAGCCAUGCCGCGUGUCUGAAGAGGGCCUUCGGGUUGUAAAGGACUUUUUUCAGGGAAGCGGUACCUGAAGAAUAAGCACCGGCUAACUACGUGCCAGCAGCCGCGGUAAUUC